rnacentral:rRNA from 1 species
GAUGAACGCUGGCGGCGUGCCUAAUACAUGCAAGUCGAGCGAACAGACGAGGAGCUUGCUCCUCUGACGUUAGCGGCGGACGGGUGAGUAACACGUGGAUAACCUACCUAUAAGACUGGGAUAACUUCGGGAAACCGGAGCUAAUACCGGAUAACAUGGUGAACCGCAUGGUUCAACAGUGAAAGACGGUCUUGCUGUCACUUAUAGAUGGAUCCGCGCCGCAUUAGCUAGUUGGUAAGGUAACGGCUUACCAAGGCAACGAUGCGUAGCCGACCUGAGAGGGUGAUCGGCCACACUGGAACUGAGACACGGUCCAGACUCCUACGGGAGGCAGCAGUAGGGAAUCUUCCACAAUGGGCGAAAGCCUGACGGAGCAACGCCGCGUGAGUGAAGAAGGUCUUCGGAUCGUAAAACUCUGUUAUUAGGGAAGAACAACUGUGUAAGUAACUAUGCACGUCUUGACGGUACCUAAUCAGAAAGCCACGGCUAACUACGUG